UACGUAGGCAGCAAGCGUUGUUCGGAGUUACUGGGCGUAAAGGGUGUGUAGGCGGUUCUUUUAAGUUUGGUGUGAAAUCUCCCGGCUCAACUGGGAGGGUGCGCCGAAUACUGAGGGACUAGAGUACGGGAGAGGAAAGUGGAAUUCCUGGUGUAGCGGUGAAAUGCGUAGAUAUCAGGAGGAACACCGGUGGUGUAGACGGCUUUCUGGACCGACACUGACGCUGAGACACGAAAGCGUGGGUAGCAAACGGG
rnacentral:rRNA from 1 species